UGUUUUUCUGACCUAGUGGUUAGAGCGUCCGUCUCAGAUGCGGAAGAUCGUGGGUUCGAUCCCCGGUCGAGUCAU